rnacentral:lncRNA from 1 species
CAGGCAUGUGCCACCACACCCGGCUAAUUUUGUAUUUUUAGUAAAGGUGGAGUUUCAUCAUGUUGGUCAGGCUGGUCUUGAACUCCUGACCUCCAGUGAUCCACCCCCAUCGGCCUCCCAAAGUGCUAGGAUUACAGGCAUGAGCCACCAUGCCCGGCCUCCUUCAGUUAAAUGGCUUCAUGUGGCUACUGCCUAUGGAGUUGGAAAGUGCAGGGAAUGAAAAAUGAAAAAAUGAGAACUGUUACCUUAAGACCUAGAUGACCCUUAAGUGGAUUUCUAGAUAAGGGGGCCUACAUUGGAAUUCUUUGACUCACUAAAAGUUCCACACGAAAGAGUGUAUAGAUGACAAGGAGGGUAUUUAGGUUCAUGCGUUUGCUUUGCUUCUAGUAUUAAAUACUAUGUUGAGGCCGGGCACGGUGGCUCACGCCUGUAAUCCCUGCACUUUGGGAGGCCGAGGCGGGCAGAUCACAAGGUCAGGAGAUCGAGACCAUCCUGGCUAACACAGUGAAACCCCGUCUCUACUAAAAAUACAAAAAAUUAGCCAGGCGUGGUGGCAGGCACCUGUAGUCCCAGCUACUUGGGAGGCUGAGGCAGGAGAAUGGUGUGAACCCAGGUGGCGGAGCUUGUAGUGAGCCGAGAUUGCGCCACUGCACUCCAGCCUGGGCGACAGAGCGAGACUCCGUCUCAAAAAAAAAAAAUACUAUGUUGCUCAAUCAAACCCUGUUCUUUGCACAAUGCCUUGGACUUAGCCUUUACCAGUCACAUAGACAAUAACAGUAUGAUGAGAUGUAGUGAGAAGUCUAAAGUCUGGUGAGUUGGCUUAAUUUGAUUUUAUUUUCUUCCUUCAACCAUAAUAAUAUGAUAUCCAGAUUUUGUCUUUAUGGAAGGAUCUGUAAACACAGGCUUACCCAUCCCACUUACAGGCAAGGCAAAUGCUGCUUCUUGAAAAGCGGGGGUCUGGGUCAUUAUCCUCCUUACCCAAGUUGUCCCCUGGCCUGGCUUUUAUCUUCACUAUAUUGUGGAGACACUUCAUUGAGUCUCAUACUAGAUUUUAACUUUUCCAUGGCUUCCGUCGUUUUGCCAUGUUUUUCGCGUAGAAUGUGUCUGUUUGCUGUGUCGCCACCCACUUUGGGGCCCUGAGCCUUCUCAUCAGCACUGUUGCUCCCAGAGACAUGUCCCCAUUUCCCCCUUUUCCAGAACCGUUUUUUCCUUUGGGCAUCAUUUUUGAAAUUUGCUGUUCUAAAAAUAUUUUGUUGUUGUUUCCAGAUAAUUUUUUAAGUAAAAUUAAUAAAGAUGGGGUAAUGCCAAAUGAAUUAUAACAAUCAGGAAAAAAAUGAGCAUCUCAAAUACCCAGAAAGGAUGUUUUGAAGAAAAUUACAUGGUAUGCAGAGAAGAAAUACUCUCUAACUCAACUUUCUUUGGUUUUCUUGGUGAUUUCAUUUGAGGGUUUUGAUGAAUUUAUUUGUGGUGAUGAGUUAAAAAUGUGUAAAGGAUUAGGACAAAUAAAAGGGAACUAAAUUACACUAAGGAAUUAUGAGAA